CCUACGGGAGGCAGCAGUGGGGAAUAUUGGACAAUGGGCGAAAGCCUGAUCCAGCCAUGCCGCGUGUGUGAAGAAGGCCUUCGGGUUGUAAAGCACUUUCAGUGGGGAAGAAAGCCUUGGGGCUAAUACCCUCGAGGAAGGACAUCACCCACAGAAGAAGCACCGGCUAACUCCGUGCCAGCAGCCGCGGUAAUACGGAGGGUGCGAGCGUUAAUCGGAAUUACUGGGCGUAAAGCGCGCGUAGGCGGUCUGAUAAGCCGGUUGUGAAAGCCCCGGGCUCAACCUGGGAACGGCAUCCGGAACUGUCAGGCUAGAGUGCAGGAGAGGAAGGUAGAAUUCCCGGUGCAGCGGUGAAAUGCGUAGAGAUCGGGAGGAAUACCAGUGGCGAAGGCGGCCUUCUGGACUGACACUGACGCUGAGGUGCGAAAGCGUGGGUAGCAAACAGGAUUAGAUACCCUAGUAGUC
rnacentral:rRNA from 1 species